rnacentral:tRNA from 1 species
AACAAAGAAGUAAUGAUUACAUUUAGUUUCGACCUAAAAAUAGAGUAAAUUCUCCAUGUUU